UUACGGCUAUAUCAUGCUCAAAAAUCCGAUUUCAUACAAUCACAGAAGUUAAGCAACUUCGAGCUUGUCAGUACUUAGAUGGGUAGCCGCUUGGGAAUCAGUGGGCGCUGUAAG